AUAGUUUUUUUCUUUGAAUU
rnacentral:miRNA from 1 species